rnacentral:rRNA from 1 species
ACGAACGCUGGCGGCGUGCUUAACACAUGCAAGUCGAACGGUGAAGCGCCUUCCUUUUUGGUGGGUGUGGAUGAGUGGCGAACGGGUGAGUAACACGUGAGUAACCUGCCCCCUUCUUCUGGAUAACCGCAUGAAAGUGUGGCUAAUACGGGAUAUUCUGGGUCUGUCGCAUGAUGGGUCUGGGAAAGAUAUUGUUUCGGUGGGGGAUGGGCUCGCGGCCUAUCAGCUUGUUGGUGGGGUGAUGGCCUACCAAGGCGGUGACGGGUAGCCGGCCUGGGAGGGUGGACGGUCACACUGGGACUGAGACACGGCCCAGACUCCUACGGGAGGCAGCAGUGGGGAAUAUUGCACAAUGGGCGCAAGCCUGAUGCAGCGACGCCGCGUGAGGGAUGGAGGCCUGCGGGUUGUGAACCUCUUUCGCCAGUGAAGCAGGCCUGCCUCGUUUGUGGGUGGGUUGACGGUAGCUGGAUAAGAAGCGCCGGCUAACUACGUG